UUAAGUUAGAAAGGGCGCACGGUGGAUGCCUUGACACUAGGAGUCGAUGAAGGACGGGACUAACGCCGAUAUGCUUCGGGGAGCUGUAAGUAAGCUUUGAUCCGAAGAUUUCCGAAUGGGGAAACCCACUAUACGUAAUGGUAUGGUAUCCUUAUCUGAAUACAUAGGGUAAGGAAGACAGACCCAGGGAACUGAAACAUCUAAGUACCUGGAGGAAGAGAAAGCAAAUGCGAUUUCCUGAGUAGCGGCGAGCGAAACGGAACAUAGCCCAAACCAAGAGGCUUGCCUCUUGGGGUUGUAGGACAUUCUAUACGGAGUUACAAAGGAACGAGGUAGACGAAGCGACCUGGAAAGGUCCGUCGUAGAGGGUAACAACCCCGUAGUCGAAACUUCGUUCUCUCUUGAAUGUAUCCUGAGUACGGCGGAACACGUGAAAUUCCGUCGGAAUCUGGGAGGACCAUCUCCCAAGGCUAAAUACUCCCUAGUGAUCGAUAGUGAACCAGUACCGUGAGGAAAAGGUGAAAAGCACCCCGGAAGGGGAGUGAAAGAGAUCCUGAAACCGUGUGCCUACAAAUAGUCAGAGCCCGUUAACGGGUGAUGGCGUGCCUUUUGUAGAAUGAACCGGCGAGUUACGAUCCCGUGCGAGGUUAAGCUGAAGAGGCGGAGCCGCAGCGAAAGCGAGUCUGAAUAGGGCGUUUAGUACGUGGUCGUAGACCCGAAACCAGGUGAUCUACCCAUGUCCAGGGUGAAGUUCAGGUAACACUGAAUGGAGGCCCGAACCCACGCACGUUGAAAAGUGCGGGGAUGAGGUGUGGGUAGCGGAGAAAUUCCAAUCGAACCUGGAGAUAGCUGGUUCUCCCCGAAAUAGCUUUAGGGCUAGCCUUAAGUGUAAGAGUCUUGGAGGUAGAGCACUGAUUGGACUAGGGGUCCUCAUCGGAUUACCGAAUUCAGUCAAACUCCGAAUGCCAAUGACUUAUCCUUAGGAGUCAGACUGCGAGUGAUAAGAUCCGUAGUCAAAAGGGAAACAGCCCAGACCGCCAGCUAAGGUCCCAAAGUGUGUAUUAAGUGGAAAAGGAUGUGGAGUUGCUUAGACAACUAGGAUGUUGGCUUAGAAGCAGCCACCAUUUAAAGAGUGCGUAAUAGCUCACUAGUCGAGUGACUCUGCGCCGAAAAUGUACCGGGGCUAAAUACACCACCGAAGCUGCGGAUUGAUACCAAUGGUAUCAGUGGUAGGGGAGCGUUCUAAGGACAGUGAAGUCAGACCGUAAGGACUGGUGGAGUGCUUAGAAGUGAGAAUGCCGGUAUGAGUAGCGAAAGACGGGUGAGAAUCCCGUCCACCGAAUGCCUAAGGUUUCCUGAGGAAGGCUCGUCCGCUCAGGGUUAGUCAGGACCUAAGCCGAGGCCGACAGGCGUAGGCGAUGGACAACAGGUUGAUAUUCCUGUACCACCUCUUUAUCGUUUGAGCAAUGGAGGGACGCAGAAGGAUAGAAGAAGCGUGCGAUUGGUUGUGCACGUCCAAGCAGUUAGGCUGAUAAGUAGGCAAAUCCGCUUAUCAUAAAGGCUGAGCUGUGAUGGGGAAGCUCCUUAUGGAGCGAAGUCUUUGAUUCCCCGCUGCCAAGAAAAGCUUCUAGCGAGAUAAAAGGUGCCUGUACCGCAAACCGACACAGGUAGGCGAGGAGAGAAUCCUAAGGUGUGCGAGAGAACUCUGGUUAAGGAACUCGGCAAAAUGACCCCGUAACUUCGGGAGAAGGGGUGCUUUCUUAACGGAAAGCCGCAGUGAAUAGGCCCAAGCGACUGUUUAGCAAAAACACAGCUCUCUGCGAAGCCGUAAGGCGAAGUAUAGGGGGUGACACCUGCCCGGUGCUGGAAGGUUAAGGAGAGGGGUUAGCGUAAGCGAAGCUCUGAACUGAAGCCCCAGUAAACGGCGGCCGUAACUAUAACGGUCCUAAGGUAGCGAAAUUCCUUGUCGGGUAAGUUCCGACCCGCACGAAAGGUGUAACGAUUUGGGCACUGUCUCAACCAGAGACUCGGUGAAAUUAUAGUACCUGUGAAGAUGCAGGUUACCCGCGACAGGACGGAAAGACCCCGUGGAGCUUUACUGUAGCCUGAUAUUGAAUUUUGGUACAGUUUGUACAGGAUAGGCGGGAGCCAUUGAAACCGGAGCGCUAGCUUCGGUGGAGGCGCUGGUGGGAUACCGCCCUGACUGUAUUGAAAUUCUAACCUACGGGUCUUAUCGACCCGGGAGACAGUGUCAGGUGGGCAGUUUGACUGGGGCGGUCGCCUCCUAAAGUGUAACGGAGGCGCCCAAAGGUUCCCUCAGAAUGGUUGGAAAUCAUUCGUAGAGUGCAAAGGCAUAAGGGAGCUUGACUGCGAGACCUACAAGUCGAGCAGGGACGAAAGUCGGGCUUAGUGAUCCGGUGGUUCCGCAUGGAAGGGCCAUCGCUCAACGGAUAAAAGCUACCCCGGGGAUAACAGGCUUAUCUCCCCCAAGAGUCCACAUCGACGGGGAGGUUUGGCACCUCGAUGUCGGCUCAUCGCAUCCUGGGGCUGUAGUCGGUCCCAAGGGUUGGGCUGUUCGCCCAUUAAAGCGGUACGCGAGCUGGGUUCAGAACGUCGUGAGACAGUUCGGUCCCUAUCCGUCGUGGGCGUAGGAAAUUUGAGAGGAGCUGUCCUUAGUACGAGAGGACCGGGAUGGACGCACCGCUGGUGUACCAGUUGUUCUGCCAAGGGCAUAGCUGGGUAGCUAUGUGCGGAAGGGAUAAGUGCUGAAAGCAUCUAAGCAUGAAGCCCCCCUCAAGAUGAGAUUUCCCAUAGCGUAAGCUAGUAAGAUCCCUGAAAGAUGAUCAGGUUGAUAGGUUCGAGGUGGAAGCAUGGUGACAUGUGGAGCUGACGAAUACUAAUAGAUCGAGGACUUAACCAU
rnacentral:rRNA from 1 species